CCUACGGGAGGCAGCAGUGGGGAAUAUUGCGCAAUGGGGGAAACCCUGACGCAGCGACGCCGCGUGCGGGAUGAAGGCCUUCGGGUUGUAAACCGCUUUCAGCAGGGACGAAGCGUGAGUGACGGUACCUGCAGAAGAAGCGCCGGCUAACUACGUGCCAGCAGCCGCGGUAACACGUAGGGCGCGAGCGUUGUCCGGAAUUAUUGGGCGUAAAGAGCUCGUAGGCGGCCUGUUGCGUCCGCUGUGAAAGCCCGGGGCUUAACCCCGGGUCGGCAGUGGAUACGGGCAGGCUAGAGGUAGGUAGGGGAGAAUGGAAUUCCCGGUGUAGCGGUGAAAUGCGCAGAUAUCGGGAGGAACACCGGUGGCGAAGGCGGUUCUCUGGGCCUUACCUGACGCUGAGGAGCGAAAGCGUGGGGAGCGAACAGGAUUAGAUACCCUAG
rnacentral:rRNA from 1 species